rnacentral:lncRNA from 1 species
CAGGAGAGACAGCAGGGUGCAGGGCACAGGGUGCUGAAGUUGUAGGGAGAACCCGCGUUAGCUCAGUAAGCAGGGAUCAAGCCCCUCUGUGUGCCAGGAACUAUGUCUGUGUUCCGGCCCUGGCUCUGCCACUAAGCCAAGAGACAGAAAAUGCAACUCUUAUUGCCUGGACCUAGAGCAGAUGGCUUCCACCACCCGGCCCCCUGGCAUGCCAUGAUCUCUCUCCCACCUUCUUCCCGCCUAUGUCAGGUGCCAAGGCUUCCCCACUCCCUGCCACUGCCACCUUCUCUGGGGAGGAGAGGAGUAACUUGCCAUGAUUCUUUGGGGGUACUGAGAUAAUAGGGUCAUAUGUUCUUUCAUUUGCUGAUUCAACAAAUAAUUAUGAAGCCCCUCUAUGUGUCAAGAUCAGCAAUAGAUGUUGUGAAUACAGGUGUACAUGAGACAUGAUGCUGCCUCUGAGGUCUCAUUUACUUCUUCAUCCAGUAUUAUAUUAAUUGAGCACCUACUGUGUGCGGGGCCCUGUGCUGGGCAUGGGACACUGUGGCCCCCUAAGUCAGGUAAUCUAACAGGAUGGUUCUGCUUCCUGGAGGAGAUGCUUCAGCUCUCCUUUGCAGGGCAGGUAGAAGAGAGCCAAGAGGGGAAGUGGCAGGGUGUCUUCUAGAUGGAGGAAUCGACAUGGGUAAAAUCUCAGCGGUGUGAGACAACUCCAAGUCCAGGGAACCACAAGUAGUUCUAUGUGGUUGGAGUGAAGAGUCCAUAGGAGCAGGGCCAGACAUCAAGACAGAUCAUAAAAGGCCUUGAAUGUUAUGCUAACAAGUGGGACUUUUUAUGGAAGGCCAUGGGAGAGUCAAUGAAGGGCUUCAGGGCAGGUUGAGAAAAGGGAUUAACAGAUGGGUACAAGUAUCAUCAGAUAUUACAAAGAACUGGCUACAGCGUGGGGAAUGGACUGGAAUCCAUAAGACUAGAGACAGAGAGACCAGGUAGGAAGCUGUUAGGAGGCUGGAACUGAUGCCAGGGGAAUGGAGAGGAGGACCUACCCAAAAGACAUCAGGAAGGUGAAAUCUACAAGAGGUGGUUGAUAUGGUUUGGCUGUGUACCCAAAUCUCAU